rnacentral:rRNA from 1 species
CGGGUGAGUAACACGUGGAUAACCUACCUAUAAGACUGGGAUAACUUCAGGAAACCGGAGCUAAUACCGGAUAAUAUUUUGAACCGCAUGGUUCAAAAGUGAAAGACGGUCUUGCUGUCACUUAUAGAUGGAUCCGCGCUGCAUUAGCUAGUUGGUAAGGUAACGGCUUACCAAGGCAACGAUGCAUAGCCGACCUGAGAGGGUGAUCGGCCACACUGGAACUGAGACACGGUCCAG